rnacentral:lncRNA from 1 species
UAGGAUUGGUUGCAUUUGAUUCCUCUAAUUUAGUGUUGCAUUUUAAUAGUCUUAAUUGUGUUUAGAUAAUUGUUUGUUGAAAUGUUGGGUUUAGCACUUUAUUUUACCUUGAUGUUUUCUAACUUACACAGUUGAGUUUAAUGUCCAUUCAUUUUAAUUUAGUUAUUCGUAUUCACAAAAACACUUUUCAAACCCCCCCCCUUUCGUGUUAGACUCGACUCUGAAUCGCAGUUGGUCCUUGAGAGACGACCUAGGGGUCAUUCCCUAGCAUUAUACUGCAUUUCUGAAUUGC